rnacentral:rRNA from 1 species
UACGAAGGGGACUAGCGUUGUUCGGAUUUACUGGGCGUAAAGCGUGCGCAGGCGGUUUUGUAAGUCUGACGUGAAAUCCCCGGGCUUAACCUGGGAAUUGCGUUGGAGACUGCAAGGCUGGAGUCUGGCAGAGGGGGGUAGAAUUCCACGUGUAGCAGUGAAAUGCGUAGAGAUGUGGAGGAACACCGAUGGCGAAGGCAGCCCCCUGGGUCAAGACUGACGCUCAUGCACGAAAGCGUGGGGAGCAAACAGG